rnacentral:rRNA from 1 species
GUGGGGAAUAUUGGACAAUGGGCGAAAGCCUGAUCCAGCCAUGCCGAGUGUGUGAAGAAGGUCUUCGGAUUGUAAAGCACUUUAAGUUGGGAGGAAGGGCAGUAAGUUAAUACCUUGCUGUUUUGACGUUACUGACAGAAUAAGCACCGGCUAACUUCGUGCCAGCAGCCGCGGUAAUACGAAGGGUGCAAGCGUUAAUCGGAAUUACUGGGCGUAAAGCGCGCGUAGGUGGUUUUGUAAGUUGGAGGUGAAAUCCCCGGGCUCAACCUGGGAACUGCCUCCAAAACUGCAUGACUAGAGUACGGUAGAGGGUAGUGGAAUUUCCUGUGUAGCGGUGAAAUGCGUAGAUAUAGGAAGGAACACCAGUGGCGAAGGCGACUACCUGGACUGAUACUGACACUGAGGUGCGAAAGCGUGGGGAGCAAACAGGAUUAGAUACCCUAGUAGUCC